rnacentral:lncRNA from 1 species
CACGACCACUAUAACUGCCAUCAUUAUCACCAUUAAAUGUACCCUUUUUUCCAAGUAGUUCUUGAACUGCUUUCAAAGUAAAAGGGCACAAAAAAUUAUCAAUAUUAGAGCAGUAGUGUGAGGCUUUGCUGACAGUGGAACUGCCUCAAAAACAACAUAUUAAUUCUGUUCAGAGAAUGAACUGAUACUCUAAACAAAAAAAAAGAUAUACAAAAACA